rfam:Dengue virus type 1 clone 45AZ5, complete genome.
GGAGGCUGCAAACCAUGGAAGCUGUACGCAUGGGGUAGCAGACUAGUGGUUAGAGGAGACCCCUCCCAAGAC